CCGGGCUCUGAGUGCUCUUGCCUGUCCUGCCGCAGCCGCGGCCCGGGAAUCUACGUCACCCGAAAAGCGACUAUAAACGCCGGCGCCUCCAUCCCCAGCCGCGGCUCGGGAAUCUACGUCACCCGAAGAGCGGCUAUAAACGCCCGCGCCUCCACUGUGCUCUCCUCUUCACUUAGGACACUCGUCCUCCCACGCGUGACACCGACGUCGCCAGGACCGCGGGGUCGGGGGAAGUUGCCUGUCCCCCGUCUUUCAAAUAAAGCUGUUUGUCUAACUUAC
rnacentral:lncRNA from 1 species